CCUACGGGAGGCAGCAGUAGGGAAUCUUCCACAAUGGGCGAAAGCCUGAUGGAGCAACGCCGCGUGAGCGAAGAAGGUCUUCGGAUCGUAAAGCUCUGUUGUAAGGGAAGAACAAGCGCAGCAGUCACUGGCUGCGCCCUGACGGUACCUUACUAGAAAGCCCCGGCUAACUACGUGCCAGCAGCCGCGGUAAUACGUAGGUGGCAAGCGUUGUCCGGAAUUAUUGGGCGUAAAGCGCGCGCAGGCGGUCUCUUAAGUCUGAUGUGAAAGCCCCCGGCUCAACCGGGGAGGGUCAUUGGAAACUGGGAGACUUGAGUGCAGGAGAGGGAAGUGGAAUUCCAUGUGUAGCGGUGAAAUGCGUAGAGAUAUGGAGGAACACCAGUGGCGAAGGCGGCUUCCUGGCCUGUAACUGACGCUGAGGCGCGAAAGCGUGGGGAGCAAACAGGAUUAGAUACCCUGGUAGUCCACGCCGUAAACGAUGAGUGCUAGGUGUUAGGGGGUUUCCGCCCCUUAGUGCUGCAGCUAACGCAUUAAGCACUCCGCCUGGGGAGUACGGUCGCAAGACUGAAACUCAAAGGA
rnacentral:rRNA from 1 species